rnacentral:lncRNA from 1 species
AUUUCGUCAGUCGGGCCUUCAACUCCGGACCGCGUACAACGGAUUUGACCGAACGUGCGUCUACGUUAGAUUUCAAAAAAAAAAUACACCCCGUUAGAUCUUCGAUAAAUCGUAACAUUAACAAACCGGAAGAAAAAAUAUGUGAAACAGGGGAUAAAAAAGUAAUUUAUUUGAGUCGACGUCUUGGAAAAAAUCAUAGAAUGACAUUGUCGUCUAAUCCUCCUAUACGUAAUUAAUCGCGAAAUAUCGAAUAAUCGAGUGUAGAAUUUCUACUAAUAUAUGUUUACGUAAAUGUAUCUACGAUACCACCAGGAUCGAUCUCCGGUCGCGAAUUGACAAUCAACGGAUACCGAAGAUGAUACGGAAUAUUAAACGUCGUAAAAACCCCGGAACGAGAGAACCGACACGUUCUGAGAAAA